UUUUUAUAUGUUGACCCCAGAAAAUAAAUUUUCUAGAUCCGCCAAUGUUAGUUGCUUUUAGCUAGUGACACAGACAUGUAUGUUUUUGUCAUUUUGCUUUCCUAAGGUCUACACAAGGAAAUUGAUUCUUUUGAAAUGUUUGCAUGGAUAUGGUUGAGCUUUUUUUACUGGUGUUUUGGAUCCUGAACUUCUCGGGCUUCAAACUGUAGAGCAUGUCCUUCGGUUAUCUCGAACAUGGGAUUCAACCAUU
rnacentral:misc_RNA from 1 species